GAAAGAAACAGAAUCUUUGCAAAAACCAAAGCCAAAAACCUCGUGCUCAACAAAGGAAAACAUCCUCUGCCUCAUUUUCUCUCUGUUUCCAUGGCCUGGUUGCAGUUGCUAAAAAAUUGGACUGAUUAUGGAUGCCGACCACCUGCACAACUGAGAAAACUGCUGAUCGACUCAGAGAGAUCUCCCAAAGGCUGAGAUGUUCCUGUUUGGUUGGAAUGUGGAGACCGGGAAUUCGCUAAGAGGCAAGCUCACAGAGGUUACAGCCAUAGAGCACUCGCUGCCUGCUACCUUCCAGGGCUGGAUUCUGCUCAUAUCCAUCAGCUAUA